CUUCAAUUCGUCCUCCCACAGGGAACAGCCUGAGGGUUUCAUUUACUGUCGUGUCGAGAUAGUCCAUCUGCAUCAGGCCAUAUGUGAGAGGAGGCUUUGGGGGAACAAGAUAAAAAUUGUCAGCCUAUACUUGUGAUGCAGAGGCAAUGUGUGCCAACAGGAAAGCUCUGUUAUCAGCUUCACCAAUGUUGCUGACAGCUACUGGCCUUCACUAAGGUGGUUGGGAAGAGCAAAAAUAGCACCCUCAGCAACUUCUCAGAAGCUUUGAACCUCCAUCUUCUGCAAAGAAUCCCUUCAGCCACAUGAUCAUCACAACUACCUGUGAGCCCCCAGAAGAAGACCCACACUGGAGUGUGCGAAAACACCCUCUUAGACCACAUCUGUACCACAAAAUUUUACCUUGCCCAGCUGUAUUGAACUCAAACAUGCUGCACAUUUCUGGGCACUACUGCCUGGACCACAAGCGCAGCAACGUGUCCAUCCAGCAUCAGGGGAUGGAUAGUUGACUCUACUGCUCACAGUCUUAGCAUUGGCAAACUGAGCUAUGCAUGUCUGAAGGUACCAUUACUAAGUAUGAUAAGUUUGCCUGUUAGCCAUGGCCUAAAACUCUCCAAAUUGUUUUCCCAGAUGCAUUUUCCUGCUGUUCUUUACCUUUGAUGUGUGUGGGAGCACUUAAUAGCUUGAGCUGUUAUAUGGCACUCCAUUUACAACCAACCUUUCUGUAAGGUGAUCUUAUAUUGCAAGAUCCUCAAGGGCUGUCCCUUACUUUAGUGUGUUCAUGUCAAAGCUACAACUGCGGGUGCCAAUCCUAGUUGUGGAUUCGAGACACAACCGCAAAACAAAGAAUAAUUAAUUCCAAAGGGAUUGUUUUAUUACUCUAGUCUUAGUAACCAAAUCAUGACAACGCACAGUCCCUUUGGCUAGAUGUCUUACAAAAUACUCUGCUGAUCAGAGAGACUUUGCAAUUCAGAGGCUAGGGAUCCUGCACAUCACAAGUGAACACUCCCGUUUCAAGACACCAGACAAAUUAAAAUAUGCAGCGGCUCUUCAAGAACCUAUAGAAUUAUACUUACGGUAUCAGGAGGGUCAGCAAUGCAAUUAGAAGGGCCCAGGUCUCAAUGGAAAAGCCAGGCAGAUAAUUCAUCGUAGCUGUAUACCUUUAUGCCCUUUGUUCCCUGUCUGUUAAUAUGUUUGCUUUUUUUCUCUCUUUGUUGUAGAUCAAGUUUGAAACUCUAAAGGAAGUGAGAAAAUUUAAAUUCCCCCCCCCCCCACCAAUCAUAUGACACAGAGAUUAUUUUUUUUUCGUGGAGGGGUGGGCUGAAAUUCAAAAUAAGUAAAAUGCGAAAAUAUGCCAGUCUGGAAAGGUCAAGCCACCUUUCAUAUGUCUUGUAAUAAAUGAGCUUUUGGAUCUAACCUCUAGAAAUGUGAAGAUCUUUGCAAUGAGUUCUUGGUCAGCUGUUCUAGUUUUUCUUACUAACACUUCUCCAUUGUAUUGAUAAAGUAAUAAUUAAUUUGUACUUGUUAACUGCUUAUACCUAAAGGCUUCUGAAACCAGAAGCAGAAAUAGAUAAAAACAAAGUUAUUGUGAAAAACCUAAUGACCUAUACAAUGACGCCGGAAGGAGUCAUCAAAAUGGGCAGCGCCGUACCUAGACUCCUAGCAGCCCCAGGCAAACUCUUAGUAUGGGGCCCCCUUUCGCCAGAGAUAAUGAUAAUAUUAAUAAUAAAAAUUACCAUUUGUGGGCCCCCUUUCUGUCCAGGGCCCAGGCGGCCCCCCGGUUCACCCACGCCUGUGCCCAGCCCUGAAAAUGGGUAUUGGUGCACUGUAUAGUACCAAUUAGCUUUGAAAGGAUUUAGGAUUCUGUUUUUAAACAGCUACUAGCACUAACUUCUGUGAAAUCAAUGCACUUGCCUCUUUGCCUCUGUAAAACAGCCGAAACAGAAGCUGAAACAAAUGAGGCAGCUCUUCCGUUCAUCCUGAUAUGGUGCUAAAACUUUUAACAGAACUGAAAUGCUGAGCAUUUCAUCAGAAACCCCGGAGCUAUGAGAAAAGUUUGUAAAGGGCAAUCAUCGCUUGCAAAAUAUCCAACCUCAGCCCAGAGACCCCCUCCCUCCCCUCCUCCACCCCCUACAACAGUCCAACAAGAAAGCCAUAAGCAAAACUCGAACCAGAUCUUUCUGGACUCUUUCCCUGAAGGCUGGUGCAGAAUAAAUGCACAUUUAUUCUGGAUUUUAUGGGAGAAUUCCCAAGCUCUGCCACCCAUGAUGGGAGAAGAUGACUGAAACAUGGGAAGACUGUCCAGUCUAAUAUAUUCAAUAUGAAUUUUCCUAACAGACAGGAGGUUGGUAGGGAAAGUCCUCUAGCUAGAUGGAUGCUGGCUUUUGAUUUAGGACUUUACAAAGAAUAAGACCUUAAAGUGAGCACACUUCCUUUGAAUUGACAAAAUUGUCUUGGAAAGGAACCUUGCUGAAUGCCACUGCGGUCUCAGUUUGAGGAGCAUUAAACACCUGGUGUCUUCAAGGACAUUGCUGUGUUGCUUGAUGGAUCGACUGAUUUGUGGAUCGCACCAGAGGACGGCGUGAGUGGCAGCACCUAACCUUAUCUCAGGAGGCUCUGUAUAACUCGUGACCUUCCCCUGGCCUUUGCUUUGACCUUCAGAUACAAAUCAAUCACAGAUUGAUUAGUAUCUGAGUGAUAACCAUUUCUUUGAAAUGAUGACACAAGUAGACAAGCUUAUGCCGAAUGGAUAAGCUCGUGGAAAGUUAGUGUUGAGCCCUAUCUUCCUUGAUGCAGAGCUUGGAGCAGGUGAGUGAAGAGGCACUUUCUAAUCCUGCCACCUUGCAGUCUGUCGCAACAGUAAUUAUCUUUCCCCGUUUCCUCUUUGCAAACAAUGACGAUGCCUUGAAGUCAAGUUAGUGAUGACCACGGGGGCAUGACUCACUCUAAUUGAAAGCAGGUGAUGUAUUUUUCCUGUAAAGCAGGAAGGCUGUAAGCUUGGCCAAUCUCCAGUACUCAUGUGCUUCACCCCAGCCUAGUUUUGAAUAAUUUCAUCAUACAGAUUGUUCUGUGUCUGCACAGCGGCUCUUCUGCUAUCACAAAUGUAGCCUUGUGUCUACUGACGCUCUGCCUACCAUGUUUCUAUGAGCAUUUGCUGGGGCAUUUUGCACAUCUGCUCCAUACCACAGAGCUUUGUCAGCAGUCACCCAUGCAAAGGACUACUGGGAUUUCUUUUUUUGAAAAGAAAACCCCUCAUCCUCCUUGCUCCAGGUGACUAUUUUUUAUCAGAGACACCUUGCUAUUUCUUCAAGCUACUGCAUUUCCCAGCUUCUGAAGUUUCCUGUUGCCAGACACUUGCUUCCCUCCUUCAUGAUCAUCCUCACACUUACCUCCACCCACCUUUUCCUCUGGUUGAGGUCCAUGCUUAUUUGGACCAUUCUUUGUCAGUUAAUAAAGAAAUCAUUCAAGAUCUUCACUUUCAUUCAGUGUAUUUACUGUCAUCAUAGCAUGGCUGCCCAAUGGACCUGCAAAGCAUCGGAGACCUAAUACACCUUGUAAACCUAGGUUCGUGCAAAUCGGCCUAGAUGUUCUGAUUCCAGGCAACAAAAGAAGGACCAGUCUCCACUAAGCUAUGGCAGGUUUUCAACCGUGCAAAAUAGAUUACUCAGCUAGGUAGGCAGUGGUGUGAGAUCUGUCACCGUGAAAGAAGUCACAGGCAUUUUCACUCAUCUGGCAGCUACUAUUCCAGGUAGCCAGCAAGACCCCUGGCAUUGAUUUCAUAUGGGAGAUAGGGACAUGAGAGGUUGGGCUCACACUGACGCUCUCAUCCUGGGUGCAAGUGAACUGCGGGAUACCCAACAGCACAGAGACAUCAGAGGAGGUCUGCUGCACAGGCUGUUGCAUUAGACAAAUAUUGUCCCAGGUAAGAGAAGAAUGAUCCUGCGUUGAGCGGGGGUUGGACUCAAUGAUUUCCUGAAGUCCCUUUGCUAUGAUUCUGUUUCAGUCAAUGGUGUGAAAAAGUACGAUGUCUGUCUGACAGCUGAGCUAGCAGAAGCCCGUCAUACAGAUGAAGGUACACCUGCAAAACUGCACAUCUACUGGGGUAGCCUGUUUUGCCCUUGGGUGUUGGUUUAGGAUACAGGUACAAAGUGUGGUUUUCCUCAUAUCGGCUGCAUCCACAGCAUUAACACCGCUAGUACAGUGUACUAAACCAGAACGGUAUCCCUAAUGUACAUGUAACCUGAGUUUGCAGUGCUUUCAAAAACCAGAGGCAAGGAUGUUUGUGGGUGACAUCUUGUUGUUGGUCCAAGAUACCACUCACAAAAAUCCUUGCCUCUCACCGAUUUCCUGGACUAUCACGGCUACAGCAUUACUCCAACACUGCCUUUAAAAAACCCAACACUGUAGCAAAUUCUGGAGAAAACUGAGCUGCUUUCCCUCCUAUAAUGCCUUUAAUCUGCUGGAGGUAAUGGGAUAGUAGCUUUUCAAAAAGAAAUGUAAUGCAGCAUUCUUACUACAACACUGCCUAAACCAACUAGUGACCUGGGUGUGUUCAGUCAAAAAUAACUGAUGUUGCCUGGGCAGCAAGUUGGAAGAACAAGUAUUACCGGUGCAAGGCAUGAAACUAGAUAUUACGGGGAUAGCAAGAAUAUGGUGGCGAAACGGUCAUGUCAGUACGUUUCAAGAAUGGCAAAAUUCAAGGUAAAGGGGGAGGUGGGAACAAAGCAUGUAAAUGAUGUGUUGGACUCUAAAGGAGAAAAGAAAGGUAAGUAUGGAUAAAACCUUUGGGGAAAGAUAGUGAAAGAGAUUUGACUAGGCUACUCCUGAUGGUCUGCUACAGAGCCCCAAGGUCAGGUUUGACUAUGGAUAGAAAUAUUAGAGAAAUGCUACCGUGAACUGUCUCAUGGCUUUAACUUCCCAGAUGUAGUUUAGAGAAGAAACGUGAAUGAGAAUGGCCCUGAUACUGCUAUAUAGGAGUGGAUAGAGUCCUUCAUCAAACCAAGAACUGGACCAAGAAGAGAUGAUGCUAUUUUUAGAUUUGGUUUUGCUCAAUGCUGCGAAUGUUAUAGAAGAACUGGCUGCAGAAACUACCCUGGGCUUGAGUUCACUGAGUUAAAGUAAAUAGAAAGAUAAGCAAAAGUAGCUCUGCAAAUAGCUAUUCUCGAAUAGCUUUCUCAGAAGGGCAAACCUGGAUGAACUAAGGGAACUGGUUAGUGAUAUUAGCUAAACAAAGAAGCUUGGGGACCUCAGUGAUGAUGAAGCCUGGAAUUUCCUCAAGUUAAAGUUACUAGUACUUGCAGGAAUCUGUAUACCGUGCGAGGGGAAGAACUUGUAGGAAGGGGCUACAGAACUCGCUGGAUUAAUAACCUCUUCAGGAGGGAUAUUAGGAAUAAGCAGAGAGCCUAAAAGUAAUGGGAGAAAGGACUGAUCAGCAAAGAAAGCUUUCUCUUUUUGAUCAAGAAGUGUAGGCGCAAAAUAAGAAUAGCCAAAAAUCAAACUAUGUGAGAACUUUCAAAAAUAGCAAAAAAGCUCUUCACCUAAAUAAAUAAGAAACGAAGGAAAAAAGAAGCGAGACCACCAUGCAGUGAGGGUGGGGUAGAGAUGACAAAUCAUGUAGGUAUGGCCCAAAACCUAAUGAAUACAUUUCCUCAGUUUUCAGUAAGGAUGUUGAUGCUGAUGACAACGCCGGGCAAAACGUUAAGAAAGACCAUAAGAAUUGAGGAUAUAGAAAUAGAAAUCAUUUCCAUUGAGCCAGAAGCAAAAUUCAAGGAACUUCAUACAUUUAAGUCUCGCUUUAGAAUAACCUUUGAAGGAAAGAAUCAAGUUAUGGGUGUACACUGAAAAUGGAGUAAAUGCAAUAGGGAUUCAGGAUGGGCUAUGCCAGACUAACCUGGUAGCUUUUCCAGAAAAAGGAGCUGUAGUAGGUGUAAUCUACUUAGACUUCAUUAAAGAAUUUGAUAGUGUCCCAUGGGUAAUUGUUCAACUGGAGAAGAUGGGGAUUAGUAUGGAUGGGGAUUAGAUGGGAGCAUAACAUAGGUAGGGAACUGGCCAAAGAGAAGACGGCAUAAAGUUAGGGCUGAAAGGGGAUGUGUCGAACUAGGGGGAUGUUAGUAGCACAGUUGCUCCAGGCUUGCCCUUGAGCAAAUCUGUUUGUUUCCAUUAAUUACUGUGGCAAAGAAGCAGAUGAAACUUGCUGAUGACACAGAGCUAAAGGGCACUGCUAAUACAGAGGAGGACUGGGAUGUCACACACACAGAACUCGACAACCUUGAAAAAUGAGUAAUAGAAAUGAGAUCAAAUUCAGUAGUGCAGAAGGCAAGGUCGUGCAUAUGGGGAUUAAUCACAGAAAUUUCUACUAAAGGCUGAAGGUUCAUCUGUUGCAAACAACUUGGGAGAAGAAACCCCGAGGGAGGGGAGGGUACAAUUGAUCAAAGAUGACUAUAAGGUGCCAAAGCUAUGUGGCUUUAACUAAAAGAAGUGCCAUGCUAGGAUUUGUCAGUUAAGAUAUGUCCAGUAGAAAGAGGGAAGUGUUAAACACCGCAUUGGCAAGACCUAAUCUGGACUACUUUGCACGAUUCUGGUCGGCCACAUUCAGGAAAGAAGAAUUCAAACUGGAACAGGUGCAGAGAAGGGCCAUUAGGAUGAGCAGGGGAAUGAGGAAGCUAUCAUACAGGAGGAGCGUGGAAGAGAUUAGCUUGUUUAGUCUAGCAAAACGAAGGCUGGGAUGGGGUAUGAUUGCUCUCUAUGAAUACUUUAGAGGAUAAACACAGGGGAGGGAGGCGAGCUAUUUAAGAUAACGAACAGUGUUGGCACGGGAACAAAUGGGCAUACGUUGGCUAUGAAUAAAUUAAGGCUGGAAAUUAGAAGGUUCCCAAGCAUUCGAGCAGUGAGCUUCUGGAGCACACUUCCCACUGGAGUCAUGGGGCAAAAAACCCACCCACUUCACUACUCUUGGACUGGAGCUCAAUAAGUUUACUAAUGCGAUUAUAUACCGUGGUUGUCCAGGGGACUGGACUUGAUGAUGCCAGUCCUGUGUGCCCAUAUAUGUAAAUGACUUCCAUAUGCCACAUUUGCUUCCCUUAUUUAAUUAGCUCUCUCCGGUCAAGCCAAAGUAUGGCAUUCAGCUACUGCAUAGGCAAAAGCUAGUGGCAGUGGUGGGGGAACAACUUAUCUUUCUUUUGGUGACCCAGUGUAAAAUACUUCAUGAAGAGCACUAAAUCUCAAUCAAAGCAUUUAAAAUAUUGAUACAUUUCUUCAGGACACAAAGCAAAGUCAAUUUGCUCUAUAUUCGAGGGGCAUUAACGAUGAACUCCUAGUGAUAGAUGACUGAUUCUCCCCUCCAGUAUAUUUUCUUAGGAUUUAAAGCCUCACUAAAAGCUCAACUGAAAUGAAUUAAUUUUUCUGGAUGCUUAGGGCCACAAUGUGAGCUUUGGAGCUAUGAAGGAACGAGGACAUGUUUUCAGGUAUUUUUCCAGCAGAAAAAAUGGUAAUGUUGGAACUUAUCAGCCUUCUUUCGUAUUCUUCGAAGCCUACAAUUACGUUCUCUUUUAUUUUUGAAUGAGAUCCUCUCCGGAUAAUUCAAUAGCUGUCAGUGUUACAUGCUAUGCCCAGGCCAGUACAAAUCAGUCUUUGAAUGUCUCCCACUUAAGCUUAGUAAAAUGAACUGAAAAUACGUAAAGAAAAGAAUUUGUGUCUUGCUGGCACGGCAUCACGCUCAACGUACGCUGCAAUGAAAUGCAAGAUUCUGCCCCAAAAGGAAGCAAAGGGGAGCGUGCUGGGCAAGUGUAAAUGGGAACCGAUGGAUCAGUGGCACUGCCCAUGGACAAGCUCUGCUUUUUACAGUCAUCGUUUCCUGGGGAUCCUUCCCACCAGGAAGGAUCCCAGCCAGGAGGACGUAGCUGUGUUCAGAUAGGCGUUACUUUUGUAUGUACAACUCCAUAACUUCUGCCAUGGAAGCAGCUACCAAAACCGUCUAUGCAGUCAUUGUGCAGCCCUGUGUCUUUGCAUGUAAAGACCUAUUGUAGCAGGCGCACUAGAAACAUGCAGGUUAGUGGACCUAUUUGACAGUUCCUAUUUUUCACAUCGGGUUAUUAGGCAUGGGAUUGCCUGUUUGCAUAUGCAGAAUGCUUUAGAUUUUGCCCAAGUAUGAACAGAUUAAAUUACCUGGCUACAGUAAAAGCUGAGGGUUCAUUGAAUUCUAGUCUUCCACAAAAGAAUUGAAGGGGGUAGGUUAAAUUUCCACCCCGCUGCGACACAGUUCUGCUAUCUAGUAAGGUUUGUGUGAUUUAAACCUGUAUAAUAAAAAAUAAAUUGAAAAUAUGGUAAGAGACUUAAUAGGUAGGAUCUUAGGUCACAGAUCACUUUUAUAUUUGUAGUGUCACCAAUAUUUGUAUAGUUUCACCCAGGAACUUUUAGUUCCCUUCUCUUAUUUGUAAGGUUGUGACUGUGUAUCACCACUACCCUCUGCUGGAUGAAAUCAAGCCUCCCCGAAGGGGUCUGUAAUCAUUUCCCUUUAAAUGGGUUAUUUGGGGAAAUCAGUAAUAAACUUCCAGCAGCAGCUAACGAAGAGGUUCCUUACCACUAACUGGAAAACACGUAUGGUUUAUUAUGGAAGGGAAGGUUCAGAGGUCUAUUCCCUAUUCCUCACCAUUCAAUUUUGCUGAUAGCAAUGGGUUGUUUCUCAACAAGUGGCUGUAAUUUAAUAUGCUUUAGAGAAUAGACUCAGUUACUCUAUAAAUUGUGUCUGCGCACUGAAAAAGCCAACCCUAGAAUCAUGGUCCUGCCAUUGCAAAAUUACAGUGCUCUACAUUUCAAACUAAAAGAGAUCUCCCCUGCCUUGCAGUAGCGAUAUAAACCACAGCGUCUGUGUGAUCCUGCCUUCUGGCUCACAUGCACCAAGCCAGUUUAUGCCGGGGUCUCCAUACAGACAAGCAGGUCUAUAUGGGCUGUACCCUCUUGGGUCGUCUACAUGGCUAAGUACCCCAUUGGAGUUGCAUGUUCUCCUUGGCAGGCAAGGUUCUUUGGGUAGAUGUGAUAUCUUUUAUUAGACCAACUGGGUAGUUGGAAAAAAGUUCUUUGCAAACUUUCGAGCACAAGCACCCUUCUUCUGGUAUUGGGGGACUUUGCUGUUGUUCUGAGAUCUCCAAGGUAGGAAAGAAGCUAAAAGUGUGGCAGGAGGUCAGUAAAAAUAUGAAUGGGUGGAAGUUUGGAAAACGAUUGGUAGAGAAGGGAGGGGACGGGCAUGGGGGGCAAGAGGGGGAAAUAAUGGGUGAAGGAAUGCAAAAGGUACGCAUGGGAAACUCAGCUGCAAUGCACUCUUGAGGCCCCCAGGCUUGCAAACCUGCACUGCCAGCUAUCUUUUCCUUAAGUCAGUCGAACUGUGCAUUGCUAAAAGCAUUCUCCUUGGUGAUAAAGAUUUUGUAUUGUGUGUCCCCUUUCACUGUAAAUAAGGCAGGCUCAAGCGUCUCCAUAAUACCCCGGUUGUUCCCUGUCCCUAUUCAGCUCGUUACAUCUAUCCCCAUUUACAAGUCACGUUAGCGUAGGGUUAUUUCAAGGCUUUUCCCAUCACCUAUACAUCCGUGUUGAUUUUGUUUUUAAACAGCAUUGCUUUCAUGUAUACAGGUUCCUGCAGCUUUAUGUUGGAUCUAUUUUAUUCCAUUUCCUUUUGGAUUAUGUUUUAAUUAACACUUGAAAUGAUCUUGUGCAAAGCUAGCAUGUGGGAACAUAGAGGGUUUUAAAUACAUGGAUUGUUAUUUCAAGCACUCCACAAUGAUUCUUUCUGUCGCAUGUGUCUGUAUUAAGAUCCCUGUGUAGUACGAAGAAGACUUUAUGGUGGCGAUUGUGAUUUACAGAUGCAUCUGAAAGUUAGUGAGAUGAAUUCAGAAGACUGCAACUCAUUUAAACUCCUGAACCCAGGUCAAAGACUCUCUGGAGUUUCUUUCUUUGAACUUUGAAAGUUUAUGUGUUUUUUGUGUCCUUCUGGAGAUAAAGUUGUGACCCUGCACUCAUUUCUAUCUGUAAACACAUUCCCUGCUGCCUGGUUUGCCCAAACAGCUUAUUUCUUUGUUUAAUAUUUAACAGGUUGCAACAGUAUUUCAAAAGUACAUAUAAGGAGAGAAAGAUAAAAUAGCUUUUGGAAGAACAUCCCAAAUAAAAGUGCCAGAAAAGAUGAAGAUUGCACAGGAAGACCUAUUCUAAGAAUUUAAAAAAUCAGACAUCACCUGGAUGUUUCACGCACAGAGUUCUGCGCAAUGAUGAAGGGACUCCAUUUGGACUGCAACACUUCUGAUUUCAUAGAUUUUGUAGACGUUAGGGCUGGAAGGGACCUCAUUCGAUCACUGAGUCCAGCCCCCUGCCAUAGGCAGGAAGUCAGCUGGGAUCAAGUGAACCCAGCAAGGAAAACAUCCAUAUGUUUUUGAGAGUCCAGAGUAGAUGCUUGCACCACCUCUGCGGGGAGUCUGGUCCAGACCUUGGACACUCGCACUGUAAAGAACUUUUUUCUUAUAUCCAGGCUAAAUCAGCCUUCCUGGAGUUUAUGGUCAUUAGACCUUGUUAACCCUUGGGGAGCUCUGGUGAACAGUUGUUCUCCCAGGUCUCUUAUAUAAUUGUAGGCUGCCACCAAGUCCCCCCUGAGACUUCUCUUUUCCAGACUGAAGAGUCGCAAGUCUCUCAGGCUCUCCUCAUAUGGCUUUCCCUCCAGGCCUUGGAUCAUAUGCGUGGCUCUCCUCUGGACUCUCUCAAGCUUUUCCACAUCCCUCCUGAGUGGGGGGCCCAAUACUGGAUGCAGUACUCCAGCUGAGGUCUCACCAGGGCUGAGUAAAGCAGGAUGACAUCCCUGGUUUUGCUCAAGAUACAUCAGUAGAUGCACACCAGAGUUUGGUUUGCUUUGCCAGCCGCAGCAUCGCAUUGGUGGCUCACGUUAGUCUUGUGGUCAUUCAAGACCCCCAAGUCUCUUUCGGUCGUGGUGCUAGCGAGCGUAGCACUGCUGAGCCUGAAAGGAUGGUGAAGGUUCUUCCUGCCCAGGUGCAGCACCUUGCACUUCUCUACAUUGAAGGCCAUCAGGUUUUGGUCUGCCCACCGUGAGAGUGUGUCCAAGUUGGCCUGUAUCCCCAGCCUGUCCUGCGGUGUGACCGCCCUCCCCCAUAAUUUGGUGUCAUCCGCGAACUUUGCCAGUUCGCAUCUGACUCCUGAAUCCAGAUCAUUAAUGAAGAUGUUAAAGAGUAUUGGCCCAAGUACCGAGCCCUGAGGGACUCCGCUGGUCACCGUGCACCAUGUUGGUUUGCUCCCAUCAACCAGUACUCUUUGUGUACUCUUUGUGCACUACUUCCAAGCCCAAUGUUUCACUGAAGUGCUGCGUGCUCAGUGCUGCUGCUGGCAGCCACGAGGUGCACUUUGUGCUGGGAGCUCCUGCAAAAUUCUCCAAGCUUCCCAACAUCACUCUUCAAAUCAUCCCCACUACAACUUGUGCUGCACCUGCAGGCACCGGCGGGUUCUUACAAUGGGGAACAUUGCGAGGGGACCUUCCAUUUGGGUCUUGCAUGCCUAUUUCCAGCUCACCUGCAACUAAGCCCACCUUUUCCUUGGUUCGCUGCCGGCCUUUCCCAUGACACGGCAGAUAAGAGUCUUUGGGUAAAUCCGAUAGCUUUUCUUAGACCAACUCAAAUAGUUGGAAAAAUUCUUCCUUGCAAGCUUUCGGGUACAAAUACCCUUCAUCAGGCUGAGGAAGCAUGUGAGUCUGGGGCACCUCGACAGCACCAUACCUAGACUCCUGGUGGCCCCGGGCGAACUUUUAGUAUCGGGCCUCACUUUGCCAGAGAUAAUGAUAAUAAUAAUCAUUUUUUUCACCAUUGUCAGACCCCCUUUAUGUUGGGGCUCUGGGUAGCUGCCCAGUUUGCCCAUGCCUGUGUCUGGCCCUGCACCCCAGUUACUUCUUCCUCCAAAAAAGAAUAAAGCCCCCACAUGUCUAAGGAGGGGAGAGUUUAUCUCUGUGGCCAGGACCUGUGUCUGCCCCCAGCUUUAUAGGCUCUUACUGCUGCUCUUUUAAUGUCAAGAGAAGAGUGCUUCAGCAAACAGCACACAGUGCUCUUGCCAGAGAGAGACAGAGUCUUUGCUGCCGGAGGCAGGAGCUGCACGCUGGCUGGUAUCGAUGCCUCUGAGGCGAGUACAGGUGCAAAUCUAACAAGACAGGUAUAAAUGGCAAGGACAGAAAUAGAAGCUUGGAAACAGAACCAUUCCCUCAGGUUGACGCUCGUGCCUGUCAGUGGAGCCGUGCCCAGCAGGGGUCAGGUCCCCCGGGCAGUGGGGAGGACGGUGGGGGGGAGCAAGACGGUAAAAGUGGCUUCACAACCUUUUUUUUUUUUUUGUAGUUAAUGAGCCUGAUCCCAGAAUCCUUUUACAGUCCUAGAUGUCCUGUCAGAGUCCUUGGAGGUACUUACUUGAGCAACGACUGAAAAUCAGGCCCGGACUGCAGAGCCCUGGAUCCAUUAAUGACAAAUUCAGUGCCAGAAUUUGAAUAGGUAUCACCAGGUUUGUCGGGCAGCUAUAAAUUCACCUUUGCAUUGAUUUAUACAUUUUGAGCAGCCUUUAAAAAUGUUGAGCUCAGUAGUUCGCGCAUCUUAAGUUACAGAUCCUUCCAUUUUAUUCCUUCACCAGACACUCCAGGGUGAGACGGUCCCAGUUAGCUUGUCUUCUCCACCGUUAAUGACUAUGUUAAUGCUGACUUCCAUUGCAGCUUGGGCAUUAAUAGGAGUACACACGCAUACUCCUUCCUGUCUCCUGCCAGAGAUCUGUUAAGGCCCCAGCAGACAUCCCCGAUCCCUUCCAAUGAUUUUCAGCCCCCUGGGGCCUAAAUGGGUAACAACGUUCUUUAAAAUGUUGACCAAAUUGAUGGGCAAUGUGAUAAACAGUGGCAGAAGUUUGAUGUGAUGGGGGAGUCGUUCCUUCCAUAUAAAUUAUAAUCUGCACUUUUCUUUUCAGAAUUCAGCCUUUUACAGUCCAUUUUCAGCAAUAAAGAGUGAAAUAUUACAUUAUUUAUUUGCGAGGCGCUAAUAAUGUGUACAAGACAUAAAAGCUGAUGAUACUCUGGAGAGCUUAUAGUCACAGGCAUAAACACAGAGAAGACAGAACGCACUGAAAGACCCAGAGGAGCAACUAACUUAGAUUCGUUCUCUAGUUUGUGCCUUCCGGUUGUCCCAUCAUUUAACUCCCCAAAUUAUUUCAUUCUAGACAGAAUUUGGGGUUUCCUCUCAGUUUUGGUGAAAACGCUGCAGUGGAAGGUGUGACUGCAGCUUGGGAAGGACAGACCCGGCCUUGCCUGACAAUACCAGUAAUAGUGUGAGUAUAAGAGCUCAGAACAGCCCAAAGCACUUCCCCUGGAGCUGGGAUAAAGCUUGAACAGAGCUCCAUAUUGCCACGUCCAUACUGUGAGUGGUACCUGAGCUCAGCUCAUUAGUUUUGAGCCAGCUUAGGUAAGUUUAUAUGAGCUGCAGUCACUGGCCCAGCACCACUUCUAGCAGCCACACAGGAAGCAGCCCCCCUGUCAGUGUAGAGGAGGGCUAGGAUGUUGUGUAAGCCAUAAGAAAAAAUUAGUGAGGGGCAGAGAUGCUACCUUACAUUACCCCCACUUAAGGCCUCAUCCUGCUGCUGUUACAGCCUGAAGUCCAGAUUCUGUUCUCUGCUGCCGGUGCAAAAUUAAAGGGAUAUCGUUUGCCUACUUCUACAGCUCAGACAGAAGUAACAGUUUUCACCCUAUCUGGGCCCUGAAAGUGCUCUACAGAUGUGACCAAACACAAGCACACAGCUACAGAGCGCUUUAAGAGGGCCUGAUCCCACGACAAUCUGAACCCUCAUUGCAUGAGUGUUCAGAUGAUGGUGCUCCAAACCAGAGCAUCUUCAAUAACUUGUGUCUGUGCGUGCUGACACAGCUCAGCCCUGCUCCCAGCGCUGUUUUCAGAAUGGGAGUGGAGGGAGUUUGAUCUGGGGUUUUUUCAGCUGGCACUGGAGAGUGGGGUGUUUAGAUUAAAGCCCCGUCACCCCUGAGGUGGGGUGGCUCUGAUCCACCUGCCCCUACCCGCCAGUGCCAACUGGGCAACCCCCAGAACGAACUCCCUCUGCUCCUUCCCCCCCCACCCCAUUCUGAAAACAGCACCAGGGCUGGGAGUUGCUAGGGGAGAGAGGCUGCAGGCUCACAGCUGCUCUAAACAGCAGCUCAGUUCCCCAACCCCUGGGACCUAACAGCAAACAUCUGUUGGGGUCAGGGGAUCAUUGUAACUCAUGGCGCUUCCUGCAAAGUGCUAUGAGUUACAACAAGGAGCUGCUCUUCUGUCUGCACCUCUAGAGUCCUGGGGCAGCAAAGGAUGGUGCUACCUCUGGCAUAGUUUAGGACAUCCCCAAAGUACUGUUAGAGGGAGGUGCAGGAUUGCUGAGGUACAGCCCCUUCUUCUGCAAUUCACAUAUACCCAGUGUCUUGCACAAAGGCUCCCAGGGAGGUGACAAGGUCUAGGGCAGCAGUUCCCAAACUUUGACAGAUUGCACAUGACCAAUUUAAAAUGAUACAAUCUUAAGUACCACUAGCAAAUUUUUGUCAUGUGAAGUACUUAUAAAAAAUCUGUUAACGUGUACCACUGACAGGUUGUCUGUGUACCACUGGUGGUAUGUGUAGCACAGAUUGGGAACUGCUGGUCUUGGGACAUCCUGCACUGAGAGCAGUCUUUGUGGAGGUUUCAUAGAUUUCUUAGACAGCAGGGCUGGAAGGGACCUAACAAGAUCAUCAGGUUCAGCCCCCUGCUCCAGGGGCAGGAAGUCAUCUGGGCUCAGAUGACACCAACAAGAUAAUCAUUCACAUGCUUCUUGAACAUGUCCAGAGGACACAUGUCCAGAGGACACCUUGUGCCAGUAUAUCUGAAGCAGAGGGGACACAGGGCAAUGAUAGAUCAUAGCCUACAAAUUCUGUCACUUGUUUAGUAGGAAGCCGAAACUGCCCAUUAGAGUACAUUGCAAAAGCACAACGAAAUGUCUCAGUUGCCCUGAGUCUGAGCGGUAUAGUAUCAUUGCACAGUGAAUUGCACUUUGAUUGUAAAAGCAUUUCUUGUUAAUGGGGUCGUUGCAAAGGCUGAAUCCUAACCCUGUCAUUUUCUAAGCUGCAGGAACCUUCAGCUCAAUCUUAAAUUGCACCAAAGAAGAGAAAUCAUUCUCGUCUUAAUAAAAUGAAAACUUGGCAAAUGUUUUAGGGCUUUUACUUAUUUUCCAAGUGCCAUAACAGCCACUGCAGAAGCACUCACAUUGCAGCCCUGACGAAUCUGCGAAUUCUGCUAAAUACCUGUCAUCAACCAUCUCAGACAGGGCAUGAGAAGAGGAAGGACUUCGGUGUUCAUCCCAUAGAACUGUUUAGUAUCACGGUCCUGUAGCCAUAGCAAGAAGCGCUGCUCCGUCAGGCCAAAUAAUGUGUGAUACCAAAUGGGUGGGUGGGACCAAGCAAUCCAGCAAGAUGUUGAGUCAUCUUAACUCCCAUUGACUUCGGUGGAAGAUGACCGUGGUCUUGAAGAGACACUCAACACCUUUCAAGAGCUGAGGCCAUUUCUGGUGUUUGCUGUGUGCCUUAAUGAAAGGAAUGCAGAGGCUAGAAUGCAAUUAUCUUUUCUUCUUAUCUUGUUCCAAAGCCCCUGUAACAUCUAUAUUGUUUCAAAAACCAAAUGCGUUAAAAAAAAUAAAAAUCAA